CAGUUACUCCCGGAAGCGCUGGGACGGGUGGUGAGGGGCCCAGGCCGGAUGGCGCGCCUUAGAGAGGGUGCUGUUCGUGCUGCUUUCCGGGCUGCGUUCUCUGAAAGGAGGGACCACAGGAAGUGUUUGAUUACUCUGCCAUCUUGGCCCUGGCUUUAAAGGGGAUUAAUGUGAGGCUGGUGGCCUUUAACCUAAAACAAUGGGAUACUCCCAAAAUCGUUCUAUGAAGCCAGCAAAACCCUGGUACCAAAACCAGUAAAGACACCACAAAAAGAAAAUUACAGGUCAAUAUCCUUCAUGAACAUAGAUGCAAAAAUCUUUAAGAAAAUUCUGGCCAAUGGAAUUCAAAAACACAUCAAAAAAUUACCAUGACCAAAUGGGAUUCAUAUCAGGUAUGCAGGGAUGGUUUAACAUUAGAAAAACAAUCAACGAAAUCCAUCACAUAAAUAGAACAAAAGACAAGAACCACACGAUAUUAUUAAUUGAUGCCGAAAAGGUAUUUGACAAAGUUCGACAUGCAUUCAUGAUAAAAACUCUCAGUAAAAUAGCAAUGGAAGGGAAAUUCCUCAGCAUAAUAAAGGGCAUUUAUAUAAAGUCAACAGCCAACAUCAUCCUAAAUGGAGAGAGUCUGAAGCAUUCCCCUUGAGAACAGGAACCAGACAAGGAUGCCCUUUAUCACCACUCAUACUCAACAUCAUGCUGAAGGUCCUAGCCAGAGCCAUUAGGCUAGAAAAAGAAAUAAAGGGAGUCAAAACUGGUAAGGAAGAAGUAAAAUCUCUCUAUUAGAGAUGAUAUGAACUUAUACACAGGAAAACCCAAAGAACCCACAAGAAAACUACUGGAACUGAUAGAACAUUUCAGCAAAGUAUCAGAAUACAAGGUAAACAUACAAAAAUUAGUUGGCUUCCUCUACGCCAACAGAGAGAGCUUCCAAAAUGAAGUCACCAAAUCAAUAUCAUUUACGAUAGCCCACAAGAAGAUAAAAUACUUAGCAAUAAAUCUAAGCAGACUUAAAAGACCUAUACAAAGAAAUCUACAAGACACUACUGUAAGAAACCAAAAGAGACAUACAUAAGCGGAAAAACAUACCUUUCUCAUGGAUAAGAAGACUCAACUUUGUAAAAAUGUCAGUUCUAUCCAAAGCUAUCUACAGGUACAAUGCAUCCUCGAUCCAAAUUCCAAUGGCAUUUUUUCAUGAUAUGAACAAGGAAAUCACCAACUUCAUAUGGAAAGAGAAAAGACACUGUAUAAGUAAAGCAUUACUGAAGGAAAGAACAAAGUGGGAGGCCUCCCAACACCUGAUUUUAGAACUUAUGAUACUUCCACAGUGGUCAAAACAGCCUGAUACUGGUACAACAAGAAAUACAAUGACCAAGGGAACAGAAUUGAGAAUCCAGACAUAAAUUCAUCCACCUAGGAGCAGCUGAUAUUUGACAAAGGCCCAAAGUCCAUUAAUUGGGGAAAAGACAGUCUCUUUAACAAAUUGUGCUGGCUAACUGGAUAUCCAUUUGCAAAAAAAUUGAAACAAGGCCCAUAACUCGCGCUAUGCACAAAAAUGAACUCAAAAUAGAUCAGAGACCUAAAUAUAAAAUCUAAAAUGAUAAAGAUCAUGGAAGAAAAAGUAGGAACAACUAUAGAGGAACUAAUAUAUGGCAUAAACUGAAUAAAAAACUUUACUAACAAUGCAUAAAAACCAGAAGACAAACUAGAUAAUUGGAGCUCCUAAAAAUCAAACAUAUAUGUUCAUCAAAAGUCUUCAUCAAAAGAAUAAAAAGACAACCUGGAGACUGUGAAAAAGGUUUUGGCUAUGACAAAUCCCAUCAGUGUCUAACCUCUAGAAUCUACAAGAUAUUGAAAAACCUCAACAACUAAAAGACAAAUAACCCAAUUAAAAAAUGGGCAAAGGAUAUGAACAAGCACUUCACCAAAGAAGACAUUCAGACGGCUAACAGAUAAACAGAAAAUGCUCACGAUCUUUAGCCAUUAGAGACAUGCAAAUCAAAACUACAAUGAGACAGCAUUUCACCCCAAGAAGGCUAGCAUUAAUUCAAAAAACACAAUAUAAUAAAUGUUGGAGAGGUUGUGGAGAGACUGGAACACUUAUACACUGCUGGUGGGAAUGUAAAAUGGUACAACUACUUUGGAAAUCGAUUUGGCACUUCCUUAAAGCUAGAUAUAGAACUAUCAUAUGAUCGAGCAACCCCACUCCUUGGAAUAUAUCCUAGAGAAAUAAGAGCCCUCACUUGAAUAGACACAUGCACACCCAUGUUCAUUGCAGCACUGAUCACAAUAGCAAAAAGAUGGAAACAGCCUAGGUGCCCAUCAACAGACGAAUGGAUAAACAAAUUAUGGUAAAUUCACACAAUGGAAUACUACACAAUGAUAAAGAACAAUGAUGAAUCUGUGAAACAUCUCAUAACAUGGAUGAAUCUGGAAGGCAUUAUGCUGAGUGAAAUUAGUCAAUCACAAAAGGACAAAUAUCGUAUGAAACCAUUACUAUAAGAACUCAAGACAAGGUUUAAACACACUAACUAGGUAUUAGAUAAGAAUUAUCUUAGGUGAAGGGAAGAACAACAUACGAUACAGGCGAUGUCAGGACAUCUGGACUAAACAAAAGCUAAGGAGUUUCCUGAAUACAACCAAACACUUUGAGGGACAGAGUAGCAGGGGCGGCGGUCUGGGGACCAUGGUUUCAGGGGAAAUCUAGGUCAACUGGCAUAACAAAGUGUAUUAAGAACAUAUUAUACAUCCCACUUUGGUGACUAGCGUCUGGGGUCUUAAGAGUUAUCAAGUGGCCAUCUAAGAUACAUGAAUUUGUCCCAACCCACCUGAAGCAAAGGCGAGGGAAGAACACCAAAGACACAAGGAAAAUAUUAGCCCAAGAGACAGAAAGGACCACAUAAACCAGAGACUCCAUCAGCCUGAGAUCAGAAGAACAAGAUGGUGCCUAGCUACCACCAAUGACCACCCUAAAGGGGAACACAAGAGUCCAUGAGAGUGCAGGAGAAAAUUGGGGCUCAGAACUCAAAUUCUAGUAAAAAGACCAGACUUAAUGGUCUGACUGAGACUGGAGGGACCCUAGAAGGCAUGGCCCAAUAAUCUCUGUUAGCCCAGAACUGAACCCCGUCCUGAAGCCAACUCUUCAGACAAAGGUUAGACUGGAGUAUAAGACAUAAAACGAUACUCGUGAAGAAAGUACUUCUUAGCUCAAGUAGAUACAUGAGACUAAAUGGGCAGCUCUUGUCCAGAGGUGAGAUGAGAAGGCAAAAAGGGACAGGAUCUGGUUGAAUGGACAUGGGAAACCUGGGGUGGAAAGGAGGAGUGUGCUGUCACAUUAUAGGGAGAGCAACUAGGGUCACAUAACAAUGUGUGUAUAAAAUUUUUUUUUUAUGAAAAAUUAACUUGAACUGUAAACUUUCACUUAAAGACAAUUAAAAAAAAAAAGAAAGAUCC